UGAGACGGAGACGACAUUUCAUAUCUAGUUACAUACAUAUGAAUGUACAGAGGGUGGCUGAGUGAGUAGUUGAAGAGGAAAUAUUUGUGGAGGAGGAAGUGUCGAAGUGUUAAGUACACCACAUUAAGUAAUCAAAACAGUGUGACAUUUUUUCACACUUGGGCCAAAAGACUCGAUCACUCAUUCUCUUUUAGAGAGAGACAUGUAAGAUCUGUCUUUUUGUGUGGUUUGGUUUUGGUUUAGUGGGUGGAUUGGGUUUGAUUGGGAGUAAAGUGUCAAUAUCGUGAGGAUGAAAUGUGUGACAUGUGACGUAAUGAGUGUUAAGGGUCCCACUUUCUGGAGGAAGGAAACCUUUCCUGUUUUGAUGGUAUUUUCCGGUCUGCUACUGUUUAGCUAGUUUAUCGUCCAGCUGACACUGGAUUUCAGGAGAGACAGACAAGAUGACAAAUGAAGGGAUGACUUGUCGCCUGCGACUGUCACGAAUUUCUUUUCCCAGGAGGAGGAUCAUCACAAAAAGGAAUAAUAACCAACGCUACGACUCUCUUGACAUACGGAUACGGAUCUUGAUCCCGACGGGGAUGAAAUUAAGGAGCGUCUCUCUCCAAACUGAUUUGUCAAGUGGGGAAUAAAGAAGUUCUAUUUAAGGAAGAGAAGAAAGGUGGCUGGCUGGAGAAAAACAAAACGGUGGUGACAAAAACAUGACAAUGUCAAGGGACCGAUGGGAAUAAGGACUUGUGCUUAAUUUUACCAAAACAAAACCUUAACGGAAUUCAUUCACGUAGGGUUUAGUAAGUUUGUAAAUGGGUAAAUUUUGUAAAAUAAUUUUAUGAUAUUUUUAUAUAAAGUAAAAGGAUGGGAGUAAGUUGACAAAAAUUUGGGAGCUUAUUUUGUUAUACGAAAUACAUAUUAGUUAAGUUUUGCAAUUUACAAAAUUACCAAGAACUGCGUGAAUUGUUUGUUUAUAUUCUGGAGAAAGUUUGAAGUUUUAUGGCAAGAUUUCCGGAUUUUAUGGAAGUUAUUAAGAACUGCGUGAAUUGCUUAUUUAUACAUAUUCUCGGAAACUUUAAGUUAUGAGAUUCACACGAAUUUUAUAAAGUUACCAAUUGCUGCGUGAGUGAAUUACCUCGUUAUAUUUAGGAGAAAUCAUGAAUUUAUGUAAGAUUUACCAUAUUUUUAAUGGAGUAUGCGACGAUUUUGGGAUAUAAAUAUUCUAUAAACAUGCAAUUUUUGAUUAUGCAUAUGCAACUGACUUCCUGUUGACUGGAUGAAUGUAAAAGUUGUGACUGGGAUAAGUUAGAUACACAAUAUUUAGUCAAUUUUAUUCCUGGUUGUGGAUGAGUGUUUUGUUUGGUGGGGAGAAGAGAGGACUUGACAUUUUAAGAGGAGCGGAUUUAAGCUGUGAGAUUAUGGAGAAUGGCAGGCUCAGUUUUCAAUGAGGAAAGAUUACCUCCAUUACACACGCUCAGCCAGUUCACUCUCAUUUACAUAUACAGAUAUGCACCCACCCAAAAUAUAUGUACGUACCUACUUUCCCUUCAUCACAAUCCACUCGACCGAUGUGCAACAUGCUUUCUUUCUUUUCUUACUGGAUUAAUUUAGAUUAAAUAUGCAGGAGGAGAAGAGGUGUACUUACAUUUAUGGCAUUCAUGGCAUUUAUGGCAUUUAUUGCAUUUGUGGCAUUUAUUUCAUUUGUGGCAUUUAUUUCAUUUGUGGCAUUUAUGGCAUUCAUGGCAUUUAUUGCAUUUGUGGCAUUUAGGGAAUGCCCAAUAAUAUGUAAAUACUUCUUUAUAAAGUUAAUGUUCUAAGAAAUCUGCGUAAUGCGAGAAAUUUAUAAAAAUUAGUAAGAGUUUCUAGUCAUUUAUGACAUUUAUGGCAUGAUCGAUAGUUAAAUAUGCAAAAGGUUAAAAUUGUAGUAGGGCAAUGGGGAAAAUUUACAAAAUUUAAUAGUUCUUCUGGUA